GACGAACGCUGGCGGCGUGCUUAACACAUGCAAGUCGAACGGAAAGGCCCCUUUGGGGGUACUUGCGUGGCGAACGGGUGAGUAACACGUGAGUAACCUGCCCUUCACUUCGGGAUAACUUCAGUAAACUGGGGCUAAUACCGGAUAGGAAUCCUUGCUGCAUGGUGGGGGUUGGUAAGCUUCGGCGGUUUUGGAUGGACUCGCGGCUUAUCAGCUUGUUGGUGGGGUAGUGGGUUACCAAGGCUUUGACGGGUAGCCGGCCUGAGAGGGGGACCGGCCACAAUGGGGAUGAAGUAAGGCCCAAGCUCCUAAGGGGGGGAGCAGGGGGGAAUAUUGCACAAUGGGCGGAAGGCUGGUGCAGCAACGCCGCGGGCGGGAAGACGGCCUUCGGGUUGUAAACCGCUUUCAGCAGGGGCGAAGCUUGUGGUGACGGUACCUGCAGAAGAAGCACCGGCUAACUACGUG
rnacentral:rRNA from 1 species